UGGUGGCGAGCUAUCGACAUACCCUCCUUGCGGCACCUUGGAUGGUGGCGAGCUAUCGACAUACCCUCCUUGCGGCAGGUUGGGUAGUGGCGAGCUAUCGAUGUACCUUCCUUGAGGCAGCUUGGCUAGUGUGGGGUUACUGAUGAACUGUCCUGGCAUUAACUUGGAUGACGGUGAAUAUUCAACAAAUCUUCCUUGAGACAGAUUUGAUGGUGGCGAGUUACCGAAGAACCUUCCUUGAGGUAGAUCAGAUGGUGGUGAGUUACCCAAGAACCUUCCUUGAGGUAGAUUAGAUGGUGAUGAGUUACCCAAGAACCUUCCUUGCGGCAGAUUAGAUGGUGGCGAAUUAUGGCAGAACCUUCCUUGAGGUGGAUUGGAUGGUAUCGAGUUAUCGAAGAACCUUCCUUGAGGUCUUCCUUGAUGUUGUUGGGAUGGUGGCGAGUUAUCCAUGAAACUCCCUUGAGAUAGCUUGGAAUGUGUCGAGUUUUCGGUGAACCUCCCUUGAGGUAGCUGGCAUUGUGUUGGGCCAUCUAUAGACCUUUGAGGUGGCCUGGAUGGGGUUGAUGUGGAGGAACUUGCA
rnacentral:lncRNA from 1 species